CCCUUAGAUGUUCUGGGCCGCACGCGUGCUACACUGAGUGGAUCAGCGGGUCAGGUUGCGCGAAAGCGUUUCCUAAUCUUGAAAUCCGCUCGUGAUGGGGAUUGACGGUUGCAAUUUUCUGUCAUGAACGAGGAAUACCUUGUAAGCGCGGGUCAUCAUCCCGCGCUGAAUACGUCCCUGCCCUUUGUACACACCGCCCGUCGCGCCUACCGAUUGAGUGGUCCGGUGAGGCUUUGGGAUCUGAGCGGAAAGAGCGUUUCGCUCGUUCUGCCCGGAAAACUCAGUCGAACCUUAUCAUUUAGAGGAAGGAGAAGUCGUAACA
rnacentral:rRNA from 1 species